AGCUGAGAGCACUCAGCUCAUAGAUUCUCUGUGGGGAGAGUGAAUAAAGCAAUAUCCAGACUGGUGUUUGAUCAAACAACUGGGUAUCAGAGCCUAGCCAAGUUGACAUAUAAAAGGAAACAUCACGGUUUUCACUGAAAACCCAAACCAAGAAAUAGCAACACAUCUAGAAUACUUACUACUAUAAAGCUCACCUGGAUA
rnacentral:lncRNA from 1 species